GGGAGGAGGGAUAGAAUUAGGAUAGAAUAACAUCGGUUUGUUUCUGAUAAUAGAGCCUUCAAAUCGACGAUCGAUAUCAUUGAAUAUAAUUUAAAUUACUUGAAAUAUCUAAAAAUUAGAUUUCAUAUUUUUUUUGAUAUUAUUUUCUCGUGAAUUAAGUAGACACAAAAAUAAACCAUUGAAGAUAAAUAUUCUUUAAAAAGUGAUGAUGGAAUUAUUGUACUCAAGAUCAACAGCGUAGAUCUUGUUUUAAAUAGUUUGAAAAUAUUUCUAACAAAAAUUUAAUUGAUUUGAAUUUCUUUACACUGUUAAGUGACUGAACGCUUCGUAUCAAUUAUUGAGAUACAAAUUUUGUGACUCUUUGAUUAUUAGGUCAAAUUAUAAAGAGAAACAUAGAGAGAGAGAAUGGUAGAAUUUUAUACCUUUUGAUUUUUUUAGAAAUAAACUCAGCCAAAAAUAUAAAGUAAUUAGCUUCAAGCUUAGAACCUCGGAUCUUGACUAUCAAGUCCUAAGUAGAAUGCAUUAAGUACAAUCGAUGAUUUCAAAUUAUUCAUAAAUAAGAUUUAAGUGUCAGCUUAUGUGGCCAAGAAAUUUAUUUUAUUUGUUAACUUUUGUUAUUAGAACUGGCCUCUCUCAACUUUCAAAUUAGACAUUUUAGAAUUUUUUUGAAAGGGCAAUUGCUUCUAUAUUCCAAAAAACUUUCAGACUUUUUUAUUUACUCUAUUUAGAAGACUAAUAUAAAAAAAAAACUCUUUUAACAUUUUAAGUUCUUUCAAGUAUAUUUUUAGAAUUAAAUUAUGUUAGUAAACUAUUAGGAACAGCCGUUUUCUUUGUGAAAUUACUAUUUUGCUCUUCUAAAUAUACUCUUUUACUAUUACCAAUUUUUUUAUUUUCUCUUAAGUUGAAACAAAAGAAGCACUUUGACUUUUUACCCUUUCAAAUAUAUCAUUCUAUUGUAACUAACUUUUCUUAUUUGUCCUUAAAUUAAGGACAAAAGAGAUUUUUUAAUUCUCUUUUUUUAAUUCUCAUAUAAAUUUAAUCCAAAUUUAAUUUGAGAUGAUUUAACAGGUACUAAUAGCAGAGAUAUUUUGAAUAACGUAGAAAUAUACAUGAGUAUAUUUGAACAAAUUAAAAAAAGUAAAGGUAUAUAAAAUAUUUCAGA
rnacentral:lncRNA from 1 species